rnacentral:rRNA from 1 species
UACGGGGGGAGCAAGCGUUGUUCGGAUUUACUGGGCGUAAAGGGCGCGUAGGCGGCCAGCACAAGUCAGACGUGAAAUCCCUCGGCUUAACCGGGGAACUGCGUCUGAUACUGGAUGGCUUGAGAUUGGGAGAGGGAUGCGGAAUUCCAGGUGUAGCGGUGAAAUGCGCAGAUAUCAGGAGGAACACCGAUGGCGAAGGCGGCAUCCUGGACCGGCAUUGACGCUGAGGCGCGAAAGCCAGGGGAGCAAACGGG